GGAUGCGAUCAUACCAGCACUAAAGCACCGGAUCCCAUCAGAACUCUGAAGUUAAGCGUGCUUGGGCGAGAGUAGUACUAGGAUGGGUGACCUCCAUGAUGGGGGUGACCUCCAGGAUGGGUGACCUCCUGGGAAGUCCUCGUGUUGCAUUCC
rnacentral:rRNA from 16 species